GUUAAUAUCGGAAAUAAACAGAUCGUGGGACAAAUCUCGUCUCGCGAGUUGAUGUCCGAUAAUAUUAUGGUUCGUAUUCGCUGAG